rnacentral:misc_RNA from 1 species
UUAGUUUAUUUAACUAUUUUCAGAUUUAACAUGGUUAAAAGAGUUUUGUGUAGGCUACUGACGAGCACUGGCCAGAGGUCAGAACCCCCGGCGGUCCGGUUAAAGACGGGCCCGCCAAAGCAACAUGGUAGUUAUACAAAGGGUUGGAGAUCGGGCCUAGAAGACCCCAACUCAUUAAUGAUCCUUCCGCAGGUUCACCUACGGAAA